UGGGGAAUAUUGCACAAUGGGCGCAAGCCUGAUGCAGCCAUGCCGCGUGUAUGAAGAAGGCCUUCGGGUUGUAAAGUACUUUCAGCGAGGAGGAAGGCGUUGUGGUUAAUAACCGCAACGAUUGACGUUACUCGCAGAAGAAGCACCGGCUAACUCCGUGCCAGCAGCCGCGGUAAUACGGAGGGUACAAGCGUUAAUCGGAAUUACUGGGCGUAAAGCGCACGCAGGCGGUGUGUCAAGUCGGAUGUGAAAUCCCCGGGCUCAACCUGGGAACUGCAUCCGAAACUGGCAGGCUAGAGUCUUGUAGAGGGGGGUAGAAUUCCAGGUGUAGCGGUGAAAUGCGUAGAGAUCUGGAGGAAUACCGGUGGCGAAGGCGGCCCCCUGGACAAAGACUGACGCUCAGGUGCGAAAGCGUGGGGAGCAAACA
rnacentral:rRNA from 1 species